GGGUCAGUUUACCGAAAAAUUUCAGAUCCAUGAUUUUUGUAUCUAACAAGAGAAAUAUCAGGUUCUAGGCUGAAAUCUUUCGAAUAAUUCAGAAUAAAUAUGAGAUCAAAGACUAAUAAUUCUGUAGGAUGGGAUUAGAACACUUGCCUUUGAGAAUUAUGACCCUAAAUGAGAAGAUUUGAGCAAGAAACCUCAAAGCCC
rnacentral:lncRNA from 1 species